rnacentral:lncRNA from 1 species
GGAUCAAGCCUGUACUUUGAUCGAUUUUAUUCUAUUUAUAUGUUUAGGCUUUUUAGCUUCAUGUGUCAAAUCAAAUGGGCUUGAGAGACAGUCUUGUGCUCUCUAGUUAGCAGCACGUACCAGAGCCUUUAGUUUAGCCGCUGUACAGGUCUCUAUUAGAUAGCGGGAAAAGAAUGCAUUUAUUAGAGUGACCUUUGCAAGGAUAAGAAAGAUAAUAAAGGACUGACUGAGUAGGCAUUUGAUCACUCUCUAUACGAAGCUGGAGUUAUACGCUCCAAGACAAGACAUCCUACAUCAGUCUGUCUAUUUUCAUUCAUUGUCCACUCUUUUCCGACAAACUGCAAUUAGGCAAUCCUUUGUGGCGGAUUCCGAGUCAGUUAAAAUCUUCCGUUUCUCACUUUACCCUUGGAGUCGUGCCACGGCCCUGUACACAAAUGAUAUCUCUCGAUUCUCUAGUCUCAUUUCUGAGUUAAAAAAGUCAAACUUUCUUGGAAGAAUCCUUUUUAUAGGUGAAAGGGCCGACCCUUGGACCUAUUCUAUUCAGUCCAAACAAAGAACAAUCAAUGAUUUCUUUGAUGGCAUUUCUAAAUGAGAAUGAGUCAGAGGAGAGGGGUGGUUCUUCUUUAUUCUUUUCCUAGAAAACGUCAAAUUGAAAUCCCUACAAAGGCACCGAGAGCUCUAAUGAUGAGUAGAAAAAUAAAGUUGACCAUAACAAAAAAAGAUGUUGGAAUGCACGGGACAGGAGGAGAGUGUCUCCUGCCUCUGAAUGGCAAGCUUGAGUUUGAACCUGGUCUAUCUCAUUGGUUAGCCAGUCCCACAGACAGAAAGAAACUGAUAGAAAGAUUCGGGCGAUAAAGUCCGAGACUCUGAGCUCUUACUAUGACUACGAGCAGUAGCUGUGGCCAAGACACGAGCAAGAGAAUAGCCAUUCUGUCGCACCUUCUUAACUGGACACCUUUCUGACAUCAAGGCAACUCCAACUACCGGAAACAGCCGUUACAUUAGCUCGAACAUUCGAUUGUGAGAUGAAAUUAAACUCUCACCUCCCUUCAAGAAAUUGAAUUGAGUCACCUGUCCCCUAUUAGAGAGGAAGAGUGACGUUGUGUCCAGUCAUCGUCUAUUCACAUUCAACUAAAAUAACUGGACUUUCACUUAGAGUUUGAUUAGCAUAAAGUGCCAGCCCAGCUAGGCUGAGUUCCGUUCCAUUGCUUUCCCAAUAAGUGAAGUAGCGAAACCUCCCUCUGAAUGAACAGAAGCGGAAUGCAACUCAAAAAAAGUUCUAGGAUCACAAUGAGGUCCCACGAAAAAAUGAGCUGAAACGGAGCAAAAGGGAAAGCCCGCGCGCGGGAAGCAAAGUACCAUCGUGCACACUCAUCAAACCAAUGAUCGCUGCCAAAAAGACGGUGAGUUCGAAGCCACUUCCUAUAUCCGAUAUCCGAGGAGAUGGAAUUGUGAAGAACCUGACGAAGAUGAUGAUGUCCAAAACCCGGUAGAACUAAGGUAGUUAAGUUCUCCGAGGUUUAAUCUCCUACCUUGCUUCCAUUCUUUAAUGGCAUUCUGCAGUUCAAUGUCGGCGAAGCCUUGCAUUGAAUAGGUUGUUAUAAGCCUGACUUGGAGGCUUGAGAGACAUUCUUGUGCUCUCUAGUUAGCAGCACGUACCAGAGCCUUUAGUUUAGCCGUUGUACAGGUCUCUAUUAGAUAGCGGGAAAAGAAUGCAUUUAUUAGAGUGACCUUUGCAAGGAUGAGAAAGAUAAUAAAGGACUGACUGAGUAGGCAUUUGAUCACUCUCUAUACGAAGCUGGAGUUAUACGCUCCAAGACAAGACAUCCUACAUCAGUCUGUCUAUUUUCAUUCAUUGUACACUCUUUUCCGACAAACUGCAAUUAGGCAAUCCUUUGUGGCGGAUUCCGAGUUUGUUAAAAUCUUCCGUUUCUCACUUUACCCUUAGAGUCGUGCCACGGCCCUGUACACAAAUGAUAUCUCUCGAUUCUCUAGUCUCAUUUCUGAGUUAAAAAAGUCAAACUUUCUUGGAAGAAUCCUUUUUAUAGGUGAAAGGGCCGACCCUUGGACCUAUUCUAUUCAGUCCAAACAAAGAACAAUCAAUGAUUUCUUUGAUGGCAUUUCUAAAUAAGAAUGAGUCAGAGGAGAGGGGUGGUUCUUCUUUAUUCUUUUCCUAGAAAACGUCAAAUUAAAAUCCCUACAAAGGCACCGAGAGCUCUAAUAAUAAGUAGAAAAAUAAAGUUGACCAUAACAAAAAAAGAUGUUGGAAUGCACGGGACAGAAGGAGAGUGCCUCCUACCUCUGAAUGGCAAGCUUGAGUUUGAACCUGGUCUACCUCAUUGGUUAGCCAGUCCUACAGACAGAAAGAAACUGAUAGAAAUAUUCGGGCGAUAAAGUCCGAGACUCUGAGCUCUUACUAUGACUACGAGCAGUAGCUGUGGCCAAGACACGAGCAAGAGAAUAGCCAUUCUGUCGCACCUUCUUAACUGGACACCUUUCUGACAUCAAGGCAACUCCAACUACCGGAAACAGCCGUUACAUUAGCUCGAACAUUCGAUUGUGAGAUGAAAUUAAACUCUCACCUCCCUUCACGAAAUUGAAUUGAGUCACCUGUCCCCUAUUAGAGAGGAAGAGUGACGUUGUGUCCAGUCAUC